GCUCAACUGAUGAGUCCCAAAUAAAACGAGACGCGCGUCCUGGAU
rfam:Schistosoma mattheei strain Denwood, Zambia genome assembly, scaffold: SMTD_scaffold0016351